rnacentral:lncRNA from 13 species
CGCGAAGAUAUUGUCGAUUGCACAAUUUAGUUACGUGUCAUGCAAUUAAAUUAAUACUUGCGUCCGAUAAUUCGAUCGAUGUUAUAAAUAUGCAAACACACUCAUGAAACUCGAAUAAACGGAACAAUGAUAAUCGAGCUAUUGAGCAAUUUCGGAACAUACGUGUAAUGUGUGAUAUAUCGCAUUAUGUUUAUACGUGGUUCGAUGUCGGAAAAUACUACAUGUUAUAAAGUGAAUGGUAAGAGCAUCUCACACAACUCGAAGUCUUUGCGUAUUCACGCGCUCGUCAGCCGAGAAAAUGCCAAUCGUCACGAUAUAAUUAAUACGAAAUAACAUGCCUAAUUACGGUCAACACUUCAAUGUGAGAUACAGUUGCCAGCCAUUUGCCGUAACGAGACACACUACGCGUCUGCAGCCAAUCAGGAAUCGCGACGCAUAUCAGAAUGCCGCGACGCCGCGACCGAUCGCGACGUACUUCAGAGGCUAUCGCGGUGUAACGAUAUGUCGGUGCAAAGAAUGUCCGCUGGUGACGCGAUCCACUCUUUUGAUGUUCUUUCGUUCGCAACGCGUGUGCUAAUAAAGCGAAGAACGCUCCUUCUCACCUGACUCAUCGAGCCGGCGACGGACAAUGCGGGCAAGAUCGGGCGUCGCGCUCGCUUUGUUUACGUCGUGACGGUCGAGAGUAGGCGACAAUGCGCAAUAACAUUCGGCUUACUGCUCAAUCCCUCGGCAUUCCUCGUUGUGUAUUGUACGCGGGCACACGAUCACCCUCAUCAAGGAUGGAUAUCUCUAACUCCGCCGUGCGACACUUGAUGUAUACGCGAGUACGAAAGAUGCUGAGCUGUGGUAUAUAUGCGAUUUAUGCGCAGCCAUUUGAUUAACCUAAGCCUAAGCGAUCUAUUAUCUCGAUGUGCGACACGAGUCUUUCAUCGUUCUGUACUGAGAAAAAAGCCUGUGUGCAACUGUGGACAUUGCUCGUUCUUUCGUCUUACGAAGCUGUGUCGUGUGACAUCGAAUUAAGGAAAAUGUGCUUUUACUGGGAUAAGGAAUCGGAAUGCCAUUUGAAUUGGUCGUUGCCAAGUGGUUGUUACAUUGAGCAUGAUAUCAAACGUUAAACAUUCAUGAUUGUGAACAAAAUAUGAAAGAUUGGAAAUACGAAUAAGGGAAGAUCUGUAAUCCUGCAUUUCUUCGUUGUCUGUUAAUAGCUAUCCUGCCUACUUAAAGCUCGAUGGCAGCUGCUUCUCUUACGAAAUUUCUAAAGCUUCGUUCUACAGCUUCGAGUGUG